GUUUGAUGAGCAGAUCUAGGGUUUCAUGAGAUCUAUCACAAGCUUUAUCUGGCAACUUGAUGUCGAAGGCACCAAGGGAUCCACAGAUUUGAACAAGGGAUCCACAGAUUUGCUGGAGAAUGGCCGGAAUCAGGUGACUGUCUGUUAGGUUUCGGUUUUCGAUCUGUUAGGGUUCAUCAACCAACUUCAGUUUCUUCAAAAAUUCUGACAAAUGCAUAAUUUUAGAGGAGAUUUAUUUCAUCACCUGGCAGAAAAAAGAUAAAGCACAGGAAAAAACCCUAUAGAAAAAAGUCGGAUGCAUGUGAGUAGCCAUGGAAUAACUGUUCUAUAAUGCUGGUGUCGAUAUAAGUUUCAAUGCGCCUGUAAAGAAGAGCCUGUACAUGAUGAGAGGAAAUCGUUUUUUGUUAAUGUGGAGUGGUUUUUCUUCUCUACAGCCCUACUGGUUUUGACUUUGUAAAAGAACAGUUGUCUUUUCUACAACUCAGCUGCUGCUGCCCAUUUCAGUUUCUUGGUGUGGAUAUUCUCUAAUAUCAUCUGAAUUGCUUCCUGUUGAAUUUCAAGUUGAAAUCCCAUGUCUUGUUCCAAGUGCCAGGUAAUAGCGACGUUUUGAGGAUAGUGUUGGAUUUGCAAAAGGAGGGCAAUUGUGUGAUAAACUGAUGCAACUUGCAUCUGGAUAAAUUGAAAAACAGUACAAAAAACUGAUUUUGAUGGAGGACAAAGAUUUGCAGUGAUGACUUGAGACUGCAUUAGAAAGUUUAUGAGACGAUUCGAUGGAUAGUGUGAACAAGGUUGGUAUACUGGUAUGGGUUGGAACUGGACUGGGUUGUUUUACUCUUUUCUUCUUUGAGCGUUGUGUAUAGACAUGGUGAGGUCAAGCCACUAAAACAGGUGGAACCUUUCAAAGCUGAUAAGCUGAUGGAAUUUUACAAGUCUGAUUUGAAACUGAAGAAAGACUUGCACAUAAUUGAAGAUUUACCCCUUUACCCUAUUAUUUAUGAUCGAAACAGGUAUACUACUUUGAUUUUCAGUAUUUACGGUCCCACUGUAUACUACUUUGAUUUUCAGUAUUUUAGACCAACUUGACUGGACCUGACCUGACCCAACCCGAAACCGGUUCCGACCCAGACCUGUUUUGACCCGAACCCAAGAUUUUAGUAUUUUAUGUCAAGGUUUAAACUUAAAGUUAUACUCUUUCAUUUAUAUGUCAAGGUUUUAAUAUUUUUUAUUGGGUUUAUAAACUAACUUUAAGAGUACAUAAAUACAUAUUCAAUGAAACUAGCUUGACUUUUUACUUCAUUCUUAUUACAGGAUACAUUUUAAUAGAUUAUUGUUUUACAACGUAUAUCGGCCAACAUAAAAAAAAACUGAUCCGUUCCGACCCAGACCCGUUCCGACCCAAACCUGUUUCGACCCAAAGCAAAAAACCCUUUUUUUAUAAUUAACCCGUUUUAACCCGACCCAUUUUGACCCAUGACCCAACCCGACCCAACCCUUUGUUUAUGAUUGCAGCUCAACUCUCAAAGUUCAGUUGCUUCACCUAAAGGUGCAGGCCUUAUUGCUGCCACAUUAGAACAGCAAAACGCAAGUUCAAUACUCAUACCAAUGGGUUCGAAAGAUACUGAUGAAUCUUAGCAACAUCAAAAUCAGUUGGAUGAUUCUGUCACAAGUAAUGUGCUUGACAAAAAUACCGCCAAUGAGGAUGUUUCAAAGGUGUCAUACACAACAGAUACUCAUGGUAGUGACUGUCGGUGGCGGAGACAAACUUUGGAUGCGAGACCAUGACCACAUAGCUUAAGUCAGCAAGAGUUUUGCAAGCCCCAGUGCUGCAAAAAGUGGUGACGACAGUGGUAGUGCUUCAGCCUACUGUUGGUCGAGCUUUUGGCAUCAAAUCUGCAGGUUCAAGUACGCUACGUGGUUUGUUGUUCAAUACUGCUGAUAUGUUCUGUACGGUGAUUUUUGAGCCAGAAAUGGGCCAGAGUGCUUGUUGCAAUUAAGUAUAGUGAGAGGGGAAAAGACGAACUGGAGGGAUUCGGGUAUACCAUUUUUACCCUGCUGAAUCACGUGACGGCGGUGACAAAUGAGAUCUAGGAUUCAGCGGCUUCAUUUUUUCCUAAUAACUUCGAGAUGGGGGGGGGGGGGGGUAAAUGCAGACGUUGAUGGGUAUGCUCUUACAGUUCUAAGUGUUCUCUCGAUCGUAACACUUUUGAUCUUCGUCACCAUCUAAAGUUAAGAGUUUCUGUCAAAAUAUAUAUGUAAUGAUCGAUAUUCACUUGUUUUUUUGGGAUAUCCUGUAAUUGUUACCAUAGAACACUGUUUUACCACUUCCUGGGUGCUCAUCCCAAUCCGUAAUAUCAAGCAUUAAACAAA